AACGAACGCUGGCGGCAGGCUUAACACAUGCAAGUCGAACGCCCCGCAAGGGGAGUGGCAGACGGGUGAGUAACGCGUGGGAAUCUACCCAUCUCUACGGAAUAACUCAGGGAAACUUGUGCUAAUACCGUAUACGCCCUUCGGGGGAAAGAUUUAUCGGAGAUGGAUGAGCCCGCGUUGGAUUAGCUAGUUGGUGGGGUAAAGGCCUACCAAGGCGACGAUCCAUAGCUGGUCUGAGAGGAUGAUCAGCCACAUUGGGACUGAGACACGGCCCAAACUCCUACGGGAGGCAGCAGUGGGGAAUAUUGGACAAUGGGCGCAAGCCUGAUCCAGCCAUGCCGCGUGAGUGAUGAAGGCCCUAGGGUUGUAAAGCUCUUUCACCGGUGAAGAUAAUGACGGUAACCGGAGAAGAAGCCCCGGCUAACUUCGUG
rnacentral:rRNA from 1 species